rnacentral:rRNA from 1 species
CUACGGGGUGCAGCAGUUAAGAAUCUUCCGCAAUGGACGAAAGUCUGACGGAGCGACGCCGCGUGGGUGAAGAAGGCCGAGAGGUUGUAAAGCCCUUUUCUGCUUGAGGAAUAAGCCUGGUAGGGAAUGACCGGGUGAUGACGGUAGGGCAGGAAUAAGCCCCGGCUAAUUACGUGCCAGCAGCCGCGGUAACACGUAUGGGGCGAGCGUUGUUCGGAAUCAUUGGGCGUAAAGGGCGUGUAGGCGGAAAUGCAAGUCUGGUGUGAAAGACCGCAGCUCAACUGCGGGGACGCGCUGGAAACUGCAUAUCUUGAGUUCCGGAGGGGGAGUUGGAAUUCCUGGUGUAGGGGUGAAAUCUGUUGAUAUCAGGAAGAACAUCGGUGGCGAAGGCGAACUCCUGGACGAGAACUGACGCUGAGGCGCGAAAGCGUGGGGAGCGAACAGGAUUAGAUACCCCCGUAGUC